UCCAGGAUGCUCACGAGGGGAAUGAGGCCUUCAUAAAUGGAGAGGCCAUCACUGCUGUGUACUGGAAGAUUCACCAUAGUAGAGAUGUCCUUCUCCCCUAAGGGAAUCCAUUUCCAGGGCUGCCAUCACAGCCAGAUGAGAACCACUGGGCUCGCAGCUCUGCAGGCGGAGGUCCGGCCAGCCAUGAGCAGGCGUGCUCUGGGGCCCCAGGGAGCCCCUGCUGCCUCUUCCACGCAGCUUCUGGGACUUACCUGCAGCCCUCCGUGCUCUGUGGCUGCAGCUGAAGCACUCCGGCUCCUGCCCCCAAUGUCACCGGGUGUUCUCUCUGUCUGCACUAGGCGGGAGGGUCAGUGAGGGGCUGUUUCAGCAGCUGGAAGAGCUGAGGAGAGCCUGAGCUGUGGCGGGAAGUGGCCAGAGGCAUUGACCUGGGACAGGCCAGUUCCAGGGUGAGGACUUUCCCGGGGCCACUUACUGCAUGGAUCUGAGGCAGAGCGAUGCACUCAGGUAAGAAGGCGGUAGAGGCUGGGUCACAUGGCAGGGAGGCUGUCUCAGAGCCAGUGAUGUCACUAUGUCACUGCAGAGCAGGCCUGGGGUCCAGGCCCUGCUGCGGGGGUUUGGACGUGGGUCCUCCUGAGAGGGCAGCGAUGCCGGCCAGGCCUGCAGUGGCGUGGGGGCUCCACCAGGGCUGUGGGGCCCCUUCCCAGGGGCUCACCAGGGCUGUCGGCUGGUGGUCUUGGUCCCAGCUUCUCUCCACAGGCUGAUGGAGCAUCCUGGUGACUUGGUGGACAGCAUCCCCCAGAGUGUGUGACCCCAGACUGAGCGCUAGGCAAAUGCCUUUCAGCUCCUCCAUGGGAGCCAGGCCUGGCCAGUUGUGCAGUAGUGUUACCCUUGCCAUGUGGGAGGGACAGCGGGGCUCAGUGCCAGGAGGGGUGUGUUCUUGGCAUCGUAGCUCAGCAAGGGCAAGAGACCGAGCUGACCUGGGCCUGGACCCCCUGCGCCCCCCAUGCUGCAGCUGCGCCGUGUGAGGCAGGGACAGGCAGGGUGGCACAGUGGUCAGGGCGCAGGGCAGGCCUUCAUGCCCGUGUGAUCCCUGCUGGGCCCCUGCUGAGGCCGCUGUGUUGGCCAGAAGUGCCCAGUCACUGUCGGCGCUGGGGAGGACAUGCCUGGCAGGCCAGGGGAAGCCCCUGUGUGACCACUUGGCUGUCAUGCCUCAGCCUUACAGGGGACACCGCCUCCAUCCUUGAGGGCUGUGGGGAGGAGCAGGAUGGAGGCCCGUGGACGGCGCUGGACUGGUGCCUGCCCAUCAUAGCUGCUCGCACAGAGCUCCCUGGGUUACUGUCCCUGCUCUGUUCUCUGGUGGCCUCCUGGUUGCCAGCCCUGAGGCCCUCCCAGCCCUGCCCCACCUGCCUUGCCACUCCCUCCAUCUGACUGCCAGCCGCACAGCCCCCUCCUCUGUUCCCUUUGCUCACGGCUCUCCCAGGUGGGGCGCUCCUCCCAACCCAGGGCACUGUGCCCCUCAGGCCUCCUUCUGGUACCUUCCGCCUGGCCACAGGCUGGAGCGCAGCUGGGGUGGUGGGAUCCACACAGCUGCAGAGGGGCGGAGGGCAGCCAGCUGAGCUGGGAACCCCGGGCUUGGGGUGGCAGCCACUUCCACUGCACUGCGGCAAGAGGGUCACACAGGAACGGGGUGAGCGGUAAGUGGGUCACAGGACUCCGGGACGGGCAGCCAGCAGGGGCUGCAAACUGGGCCUUUUCCAUCUGCGACUUGGACGUUCAGUAGUUCAACAGAACUUUAAUUGAUCUGGAGGAGGGUAAUCUGAGGGCUCAAGGGCUGACAGAAUCCCUGUCUGUGUCCCCUGGGUUGCUCAGGCACCUGCAGUCCCUGGUGGGUGGUGCUCAGCUCUGGAGCCGCGUGGUGGAAGCUCCUGCUCAGCCUCACCAGCGGCUCCGUGGGAGGGUAACAAAGGCCCUGCGUCCUGAUUAACUGAUCUGACAAACCAUCUGUCACCACAGCCCUGAGCCACACUGCGGAACUGCCUGGUGUGUCACCAGGCUGGAGUCCGCCUCGCGAUUCUCACCCAGAUCCCUAAGCCACCCCCUCAUGGUCAGUCCAGACCCCCGGGAGUGACCCCGUGGCCUGCUCCUCCUUGGAGACUCCUGAAUGAGGAGGACCAAGGGCGGGUUGUCCUCAGCCCUGAGGGGACUUCCCAUGGUGAAGGUGAGCAGAAUGUGCCCCUUCAAAACAGUGGGGACAUGCCCCCGGCCCAUCUGCCCCCCACACCUCCCAGGAGCACAGGGCGCCCUGGAGAGUCUCCACGGAACGUAGGAGCAGCCCGCUGGGUGGACAGGAGGGUCCCACGGCCGCAGAGCUGGGAGCUGAAGGAACGCCAAGAAGCCGGGUGCCUGGUCCCUGCUGAGAGGCUGUCAAGGGUGAACAGAGAGGCUGGCUGAUUGAGUGGCUCAACAGUAUCAUCAAGGACCAAGGUUGUGCCAGGUGUGGUGGCGCACAACUGUCAUCCUAGAGUUCAAGAGCCUGAAGCAGGCCUGGGUUUGUGGCUCAGUGGCAGAGUGCUGGCUUUGCAUGCAUGAGGCAGGGGGUUCGAUCCUCAG